AUUGAACGCUAGCGGGAUGCCUUACACAUGCAAGUCGAACGGAGUGGCGAACGGGUGCGUAAUGUAUCGGAACGUGCCCCUUCGCGGGGGAUAACUACGCGAAAGCGUAGCUAAUGCCGCAUACUUUUGGCGCCGCCUGUAUCGGAUUGGCUAUUUGUGGGGGUACGGCUCACCAAGGCGACGAUCCGUAGCUGGUUUGAGAGGACGACCAGCCACACUGGGACUGAGACACGGCCCAGACUCCUACGGGAGGCAGCAGUGGGGAAUUUUGGACAAUGGGGGAAACCCUGAUCCAGCCAUCCCGCGUGUGCGAAGAAGGCCUUCGGGUUGUAAAGCACUUUUGGCAGGAAAGCGGUACCUGCAGAAGAAGCACCGGCUAACUACGUGCCAGCAGCCGCGGUAAUAC
rnacentral:rRNA from 1 species